AAACGUCAACCAAAUUACUAUAAAUUAUCAGCGCGCGGCCCAUUGAGUUCUAUAAUAACUCAUUGAGUUUUAUAAUGACUCAUUGUCGGGUCCAUUGAGUUCUAUAAUUGAGUUAUUAUAGAACUCAAUGGUCGGGCCAACACUUACGCCAUAUUACGUGUUCUUGCCAUAUAUGGAACAUUUAUCGUGUAAGACCAAUCGCUGUGUAUAAAUGCGUCCGAUGUAUUUACGCGAUUUCAAAAAAGAAAACAAAUGUGUCGAAGAACAAUAGCAAAGCGAAAUUAAAAGUUGUCAUUCUAGCUACGGAGGCAAUGUAUAUUAUUAUUAUUGCUUCAAAAAAUAAAGAAAAGAAGAAAACAAAUAUAAAGAUCAUCGGUGUGAGUAAAGUGCAAAUCAAGACAACGCGUACUUCUGAACUAAAGAAAAACAUUGGGCAUUAUUGAGAAGGGCUAAAAAAACAAACAACGUAACAUCCAUAGAUACUCAUAGUUAACCCAAAUUGUAAUUGUUUAACAAACCAAACACAGAUAUUAAUGUAAACAAUCAAUCAUAUAAUUUAUAAAAGGUAAACAAAUCCUGCAUCGAGUUAAAUUUUAAUAUGUUGCUUAAAGAAAUAGAAAAGCAGUAAUACCGAACAUAAAACCAGACAUCUUGCUGUUAUCUUUAAAAUAUAAUUUUGCACAAUA